UACGUAGGUGGCGAGCGUUGUCCGGAUUUACUGGGUGUAAAGGGCGUGUAGGCGGGAAUGUAAGUCAGAUGUGAAACUCCGGGGCUCAACUUCGGAACUGCAUCUGAAACUAUGUUUCUUGAGUGCUGGAGAGGAAAGCGGAAUUCCUAGUGUAGCGGUGAAAUGCGUAGAUAUUAGGAGGAACACCAGUGGCGAAGGCGGCUUUCUGGACAGUAACUGACGCUGAGGCGCGAAAGCGUGGGGAGCAAACAGG
rnacentral:rRNA from 1 species